AACAUUGUGAGGCUACUUGUACUCGGGUGGAAAUUGUUGGUAGCAGAACUCUGCAUGUUUUCAUGGGGAUGGAACACGGUGGAGGCAAAAGGUCAAAGAACUUGGAGUUUCAUUGUUCCAAAAUCCAACUCGGCCUGCAUCACAGUUUGGGCCCUACAGUGUCAGCUGUGACUUGCACAGAAAUGUAGAAACAGGGUCAGAUCUAUCAGAAGUCACAUCCGGUUCAGAACACUCAUUGAAAAUAUGGCUAACGAAGGUGUGCCAGCAUAUUCGGGCUGCGAUAUUAAAAUACCACAGACUGGGUGGCUUAAGCAACAGUGAUUGUGCUCUGCUUGGGUAAGCUAUUUCCAGAAGCUGGGUGGACGCAUAGAGGACUUCUUUGCAACUUUUCCGAUAGAAGCUAACUUAAGAGAUUUUACCCCGAGAUCGAAACACUGUGCUCUAGCUGGCCUCAAUGUUUCUCGGAGGGAGCUUCACUGAGCCCACGGUUUCUGCAGGAGUCCAGAGGACGACCGCUCCAGAUGACAAAACUCGCAAAGGACCUGACACGUCUUAGAUUCAGUAAGCGUCUGUGGAAUGGGAUGGAACUAAUUGGAUCAAAGAAGGAUGCAUUGCCUGAUGUUUUUCUUUCUUCAAGCAUUUCAGCCCCUGUGGGGUGAAGCAA